UGCUUAUCGAGAAAAUGUUUUAGUAUUUAGAUUUAUUUGUGAGAUGUGAGACCUGCUUGAUUAAAAGUACUUAAUAGUAAAAAAACUGUACAAACCAUAAGCUACAUUAUUUACUAAAAAUGAGUCCUGAAAAAGUUGCUGAUUUUAAGUAAAUUAUUAUUUGAUAAUAGCUAUAUUUUAUUAACUCUAGAUUUUUAUCUAAAUCGAUUUAU
rnacentral:sRNA from 1 species